rnacentral:rRNA from 1 species
UACAGAGGUCUCAAGCGUUGUUCGGAUUCAUUGGGCGUAAAGGGCGCGUAGGCGGCGGGGUAAGUCGGGUGUGAAAUCUUGGAGCUUAACUCCGAAACUGCAUUCGAUACUGCCGUGCUUGAGGACUGGAGAGGAGACUGGAAUUUACGGUGUAGCGGUGAAAUGCGUAGAUAUCGUAGGAAGACCAGUGGCGAAGGCGGGU